GGGAGUUUAGCUCAGUUGGGAGAGCGCUUGCCUUACAAGCAAGAUGUCAUAGGUUCGAGUCCUAUAAUUCCCA
rnacentral:tRNA from 1 species